rnacentral:tRNA from 1 species
GUGACCAUAGCUCAGUUGGUUAGAGCGCCGGAUUGUGGCUCCGGAGGUCGCGGGUUCAAAUCCCGUUGGUCACCCCA